rnacentral:rRNA from 1 species
GUGCCAGCUGCCGCGGUAAUACCGGCAGCCCAAGUGAUGGCCGAUCUUAUUGGGCCUAAAGCGUCCGUAGCUGGCCGCGCAAGUCCAUCGGAAAAUCCACCCGCCCAACGGGUGGGCGUCCGGUGGAAACUGUGCGGCUUGGGACCGGAAGAUCCAAGGGGUACGUCCGGGGUAGGAGUGAAAUCCCGUAAUCCUGGACGGACCACCGAUGGCGAAAGCACCUUGGAGGGACGGAUCCGACAGUGAGGGACGAAAGCUAGGGUCUCGAACCGGAUUAGAUACCCGAGUAGUCC